GACGAACGCUGGCGGCGUGCUUAACACAUGCAAGUCGAACGAAGUGGCGAACGGGUGAGUAAUGCGUAAUCAACCUGCCCUUGAGAGGGGGAAAACAGUUGGAAACGACUGCUAUUACCGCAUACUGAAGGAGGGGAUGGUGGCGGAGUAGCUAGUCGGGGGGGUAACGGCCACCUAAGGCGAAGAUCAGUAGCCGGUCUGAGAGGAAGAACUGCCAACUUGGGACUGAGACACGGCCCAGACUCCUACGGGGGGCAGCAGUGGGGAAACUUCCGCAAUGGACGAAAGACUGACGGAGCAACGCCGCGUGAGUGAUGACGGCCUUCGGGUUGUAAAGCUCUGUUAAUCGGGACGCGGUACCGGAAUAGAAAGCCACGGCUAACUACGUGCCAGCAGCCGCGGUAAUAC
rnacentral:rRNA from 1 species